AUGAGAUAGUGUGCAUCGAAACUAUGCUUAUGUUUGUGACAUUCAUGUGGCAUCUCAUGCAGAUAGAUUUUAUUAUCCAUUUCUGUAGCAUGCAAUGUUUAUUUUCUUCUUUUGGUCCAUAAUCCCUCCUCAAAGAAAUAUAAGAGUGUUUAGAUCACUAAAGAAGUGAUCUAAACGCUCUUAUAUUUCUUUACAUAGGGAGUACAUGUCAUGAUUGUUGGAUACACAUGCAGACUUUCAGCGAGUUUUUGUUCUCGGACUUGGGAUCCACAGUCCAAAGUUGAUUGGUGGAUCAAGUGAACUUGGUGCAUCUCCAUUCAAGCUGGUGUACAAUUACCAGCCUGCUUGUUUAGCGCAGUCUCCACAAUCAUACAAGCAAAUGAGCAUCUGUGGUGGCUUUGGGCGCGUGUUUGAGGCUGGUCCGGUAUUUAGAUCAGAAAAAUCAAACACUCACAGGCAUCUGUGUGAGUUUAUUGGGUUGGAUGCAGAAAUGGAGAUUAAGAAGCACUACUUUGAGGCAAGGAAGAUUUGGAGGAAAUAAUUCUUUAGUUUGUCUAUUGAAGCGAUGCUGACCAAGUACUGAUUUUUGUUUUCAGGUUUGUGAUAUCAUAGAUUGCUAAUUGUAGCAAUAUUCAAACACCCAAAUGAAAAUUGUCAGAAGGAACUCGAGACAAUAAAUAGGCAGUAUCCAUUUGAACCUCUGAAGUACCUAGAGAAAACGUUGAAGCUAACGUACGAGGAAGGGAUUAAAAUGCUCAAGGUUUCAUUCUGGAAUCCUCUAGGCAGGGUGCUUGCAAUCCCCUACAUCUCGGCUGCAACAAAAAAGACCCAACGAGGCUGUUGUUUCAAGCUCAGACCCUCUUCAUUGCACGCGGUGCUAGAAGGAGAACUAGGUUGUGGUGGUGUUGCUGGUCGUUUUCCUUUUUUACUUUUGCACUUUGGCCGUCAUAAACGACACAUGCUUGCUCCCCGGAUGGAUCUCUUUCUCUCCCUGGAUCUUUUAAACAGAGGCGGCAGUUACCAUAGGGAAGAGGUCAAGAACAUCUAGCUCUUGUGGUGUUCCUCCUCAUUGUUGUCAUCGCCAUCAACAGCAACAAUGAUGACCGGCUCAUGAGAUGGCUACUAGAGAGGGAGCGAGGAAGGGGGAGACAGAUCUUUCAGGUACAAUGGUACGACAACCAUGUUUUGAAAUAUCAAUGAGAUUUGGUGCUAAGUCAGCAUCGUGUUUUAUCCAAUCUAUCAAACACCAUAAGUUUCAUGUCGAAUGUGUUGUAGAAAUAUGUUCUUCCAUAAAUAUGGUUUUAGUCCUUCAUAUUUUAGUAUCGUUGUAAAUUUAUCCAUUCACAUAUCACUCUGAGAAACAUUUUUAAUUGGGGGAAGGAAGAAUGGAAGAAAAGAAGAGUGCUUUGACGUAAAAAAAGAAGUCAUCAAUAUAGCCCGUUGCAACGCACGGGCGUUCUACUAGGAGAUGCAAGUGAAGUGGAAUAAUGAAAAUACAUUGCAUCAAGUACAUUUUUCGAUUGUUACUGUAAUUUUUUUCUAUACAUGUGAAAUUGGAAGUGCAUUAUGCUUAUGUAUGCAAUCAGAAAAAAUAAUUAAAAGGACCGUGGCAACGCAUGGGCAUU